UACUACUCAGUUGCUCACCACCUUACGUCGUUCGAUUCGGCGCCUAGCCUUUUGCUUUUAGUUAAACCAGGCACCGAGUCCUUUAGGCGAAAAGGCAACUUACCGACGUCCGUGUUUAACCUACGUCUCGAGACCGAGAAGAGGGGGUUUCCGGGGUCGUACCUGCGUAAACCUUCGUCUCCUCACUCUUUCUCCCUAUCCUUUGUCUCCGCCGGCGGUUGCUACUUCAAGGAUUACGUUGAUUAGUUAGUCCUCUCCCGGGGCCCCGUACUAUAUCAAAAGUUCUUACACAGUACAAGUACUUUUCGACAACACAUGGUUGUUACGACAAUCGUGUCACAGUAGAGAUUCCCUCCAUUUAAUCGAUCGUCCUGGUGACCUGGUUUUGAGAUCUUCGUUCUUUCUAUUACUCCCUUUAGUCUGAGGAGACCACUGACCUUGCUCUUACUACUCAGUUGCUCACCAUUCGUACUCU
rnacentral:rRNA from 1 species